rnacentral:misc_RNA from 1 species
UUUCCGUAGGUGAACCUGCGGAAGGAUCAUUAUUGAAAUAAACCUGAUGGGUUGCUGCUGGUUCUCUAGGGAGCAUGUGCACGCUUGUCAUCUUUAUAUCUCCACCUGUGCACUUUUUGUAGACCUGGAUAAUCUUUCUGAAUGCACUUGCAUUUCAGGUUUGAGGAAUUGACUUCAUGUCUCUCCUUACAUUUCCAGGCCUAUGUUUCUUCAUAUACCCCUAUGUAUGUUUCAGAAUGUAACAGGAUGGGCCUUUUGUGCCUAUAAAUAUAUACAACUUUCAGCAACGGAUCUCUUGGCUCUC